rnacentral:piRNA from 1 species
UACUUGUCUAGUUGAUGUGCAUGGCGGAC